GAAAUGCGAUAAGUAGUGUGAAUUGCAGAAUUCAGUGAAUCAUCGAAUCUUUGAACGCACAUUGCGCCCUUUGGUAUUCCUUAGGGCAUGCCUGUUCGAGCGUCAUCUAAACCUUCAAGCCCUGCUUGGUGUUGGGUGCCUGUCCCGCCUCCGCGCGCGGACUCACCUCAAAUCCAUUGGCGGCCCCCGCGUCGGCCACGAGCGCAGCAGAAACGCGAACUCGUGAGCCCGUCCGGGCGGCUCCCAGAAUCUACACCCACCCAGUUUGACCUCGGAUCAGGUAGGGAUACCCGCUGAACUUAAGC
rnacentral:misc_RNA from 1 species